GUGGGUGACAAGCUUCCAAGCAGCUGCUGAUACUGUCAACGGUUUCUCCUUUCAUCCAUACCUUCCUCUUGCUACAACAUCAUCUGGGCACAGAAGAUUUGGUAUGCAAGAUGAAUUCGAAGAGGAAUCGAGUUUGGCAGGCGAUGAGAAAUGCUGCUCCGUUUGGAAGUUUUCUUGCUCACAAGAAGCUUGAAACAACAUCAAGCCCUAAGCUAUGGAGGGACAGGCGAACAUUUUGGACUGCAGAUGUUGGAGGUACAUGGUGUAAUGACAUCGGGCUAUAGCUGUGGGUGAGCAAGAACUGGAUGCAGACCGCUAAAACGUGAACUAUACCGAUGAGUUACUAGAGAAUUUGCCGGCUUAUCCUGUUCCAGGCAGACAACUUACCGUGCCGGGUAACAAGCUGGUAAAGCAUGAUAGUACGAUUGUUUUUUGGGGGAUAUGAGUUGAUAUUUUUAUCAUGGCAUGUAAAGAUGGUAUUUGUGUGCAUAAACACCUUGUAUGUCGGUCGAUUAGGCCCCAUUCAAUUCGAAGUCUUAUUCACCAA